CUACGGGUGGCUGCAGUGAGGAAUAUUGCGCAAUGGGGGAAACCCUGACGCAGCGACGCCGCGUGGAUGAUGAAGGCCUUCGGGUCGUAAAAUCCUGUCAGAAGGAAAGAAGUGUAUGGUAGCUAAUAUCUGCCAUACUUGACGGUACCUUCAAAGGAAGUACCGGCUAACUCCGUGCCAGCAGCCGCGAUAAUACGGAGGGUGCAAGCGUUGUUCGGAAUUACUGGGCGUAAAGCGCGCGUAGGCGGUUUUAUAAGUCAGGUGUGAAAGUCCACGGCUCAACCAUGGAAGUGCAUUUGAAACUGUAAGACUUGAGUAUUGGAGGGGGUAGUGGAAUUCCCGGUGUAGAGGUGACAUUCGUAGAUAUCGGGAGGAAUACCGGUGGCGAAGGCGACUAUCUGGCCAAAUACUGACGCUGAGGUGCGAAAGCGUGGGGAGCAAACAGGAUUAGAUACCCUUGUAGUC
rnacentral:rRNA from 1 species